rnacentral:rRNA from 1 species
CCUACGGGUCGCACCAGUGGGGAAUAUUGCACAAUGGGCGCUAGCCUGAUGCAGCCAUGCCGCGUGUAUGAAGAAGGCCUUCGGGUUGUAAAGUACUUUCAGCGGGGAGGAAGGUGUUGUGGUUAAUAACCACGGCAAUUGACGUUACCCGCAGAAGAAGCACCGGCUAACUCCGUGCCAGCAGCCGCGGUAAUACGGAGGGUGCAAGCGUUAAUCGGAAUUACUGGGCGUAAAGCGCACGCAGGCGGUUGAUUAAGUUAGAUGUGAAAUCCCCGGGCUUAACCUGGGAAUGGCAUCUAAGACUGGUCAGCUAGAGUCUCGUAGAGGGGGGUAGAAUUCCAUGUGUAGCGGUGAAAUGCGUAGAGAUGUGGAGGAAUACCGGUGGCGAAGGCGGCCCCCUGGACAAAGACUGACGCUCAGGUGCGAAAGCGUGGGGAGCAAACAGGAUUAGAUACCCGCGUAGUC